AGAGUUUGAUCCUGGCUCAGGAUGAACGCUAGCUACAGGCUUAACACAUGCAAGUCGAGGGGAAACGACAUCGAAAGCUUGCUUUUGAUGGGCGUCGACCGGCGCACGGGUGAGUAACGCGUAUCCAACCUGCCCAUCACUUGGGGAUAACUUUGCGAAAGUAAGACUAAUACCCAAUGACGUCUCUAGAAGACAUCUGAAAGAGAUUAAAGAUUUAUCGGUGAUGGAUGGGGAUGCGUCUGAUUAGCUUGGUUGGCGGGGUAACGCCACCAAGGCGACGAUCAGUAGGGGUUCUGAGAGGAAGGUCCCCCANAUUGGAACUGAGACACGGUCCAAACUCCUACGGGAGGCA
rnacentral:rRNA from 1 species